AUGCACCAUCAUCAGCAUCGACGCUUUGUCUGUCAGCGGCUUCGAAGAGAAAGGGCGACAUCACUCCCUCCCUCCGUCCUACCAAGGUUCCGUCACUCCAUCUCCACCGCGGCGGAGGGAACGGAAGGUGAUGGUGACGCGACGACCCCGGGUGGCUCGGGUGGCGUGGCCGCCAUGCUGCCCCCAUCCAAGGAAAGGAGCGAGGCAUCCAGCGAUGUCGUGCUCCUUGCAAGCUCCUGUCAGACAUAUCUGAUGCCUGAAAGAAUUACUAGGACAAGUAGGAAAUAUGGUAUAUGGCCUCCUCCUCCUCCUCCACUUUCACUUGUCAAUGAUCGAGCCAUGCGAGGGUGGCAUCACCAAUGUCGAUAA
rnacentral:rRNA from 1 species